CACGGGGGGAGCAAGCGUUGUUCGGAAUCACUGGGCGUAAAGGGCGUGUAGGCGGUCAUGUAAGUGGGAUGUGAAAGCCCUCGGCUCACCCGAGGAUCUGCAUCUCAAACUGCAUGGCUUGAGUAUGGGAGAGGAUGAGGGAAUUCCUGGUGUAGCGGUGAAAUGCGUAGAUAUCGGGAGGAACACCAGUGGCGAAGGCGACUACCUGGCCUGUUCUUGACGCUGAGGCGCGAAAGCUAGGGGAGCAAACGGG
rnacentral:rRNA from 1 species